CUUCGUCGAUCUGUUGCGGGCAGAUGAAGUGGAUGUGGGUGUCGAUGCCGCCGGCGGUGACGAUGCAACCUUCGCCGGCGAUGACUUCGGUGCAGGCGCCGACGAUCAUGGGGUUCGUCUUGCCGGUGACGGGAUCGGGGAAGGCGGAGCCGAUGCCGGACUGGAUGCCGGGGUUGCCGGCGUGGCCGAUGCCGACGAUGAGACCGUGCUUGAUGCCGAUGUCGGCCUUGAUGACGCCGAGGAGCGGGUCGAGGAUGAGGGCGUUGGUGAUGACGAGGUCGAGCGACUCGGUGUCGGUGGCGGUGGGCGACUGGCCCAUGCCGUCGCGGAUG
rnacentral:sRNA from 1 species